rnacentral:rRNA from 1 species
UUUCCGUAGGUGAACCUGCGGAAGGAUCAUUACCGAACCGUCGACACGAGUUGUUGCUGGCCCCUGGGCACGUGCACGCUCUGUUUACACAUCCACUCACACCUGUGCACUCUCUGCGGUUCUGCGGUAUGAGGGAUUCCGUCUCUCCGCCGUGGCUCUGUGUUUUUAUACACACCCUGUAGUAAAGUCUUAUGGAAUGUGUGCCGCGUUUAACGCAAUGAAAUACAACUUUCAGCAACGGAUCUCUUGGCUCUCGCAUCGAUGAAGAACGCAGCGAAAUGCGAUAAGUAAUGUGAAUUGCAGAAUUCAGUGAAUCAUCGAAUCUUUGAACGCACCUUGCGCCCCUUGGCUAUUCCGAAGGGCAUGCCUGUUUGAGUAUCAUGAACACCUCAACCCUCGUGGUUUUCCACGAUCGGCUUGGACUUUGGAGGUUUUGCUGGCCCCUGUGGUCGGCUCCUCUCAAAUGAAUCAGCUCGCCAGUGUUUGGUGGCGUCGCAGGUGUGAUAACUAUCUACGCUCGCGGCCGUCUGCCAUGCAACCUUCAGCGAUGAGGGUUCGCUGGGGCUCACAGAUGUCUUUCCCGAGUGAAGACAGCUUUUUGAUCGUUCGAUCUCAAAUCAUGUAGGACUACCCGCUGAACUUAAGCAUAUCAAUAAGCGGAGGAAAAGAAACUAACAAGGAUUCCCCUAGUAACU